rnacentral:lncRNA from 1 species
ACAUUCAACAAAUGCAGAAUAAUGGAAAGACAAUAAUCUAAGGUUUUCCAAACAGCAAGGAUUAUGAUAAACACUUUAGGCCCAAGAUCUACAGACCACCUUCUGCCCAAGAAAGAAAAAAUAGAGCGCGCAGUGGUCCAAAAAACGAAGCAUAGCCCAAGAACUUGCUAUCGGAACAAAGAAAUCAGCUAAAAGGCAUCUCUCCUGUACAGAGGUACAUGCAUGAUAAU